ACUUUAACCUAUAAAGUGGAUAUGGACUUGCAAUUAUAACAUGGAAUCUCUACACACCCCAUGAGCUCGAUCCAAUCCACGCACACGAGUUGCCUGAGUAGCGACAGGUAUACCGAUGUGCAAUACGUAUCCGGCCACGGCACGGAACGAACGGGAACUGUGGUGCAGACAUACAAAGAGUUAAGCCUACUAGUCAUUAACUCUAAGGACGGGGCCAUGGGGCGGUACGCAAAGGAUACGGAUGAGCGAGUAUGCAGGCCCAAUACUCAAUAGCUCGAUCCGAUCCAAGCACAUGAGUUGACUGCGGCGCCAGGUUAACCAAUGUGCUAGAUUCUAUUUGGCCAGUAGAAUCUUGUGUCUUACGCGAUUUGAUACCAAGACACCAGAACGAAAGUUAGUUGAAGAGUGAUUAAACUCUUAUGAAGAAUGGUUGUGCAAUCACAACUUAUGACUUUAACCUAUAAAGUGGAUAUGGACUAUCAAUUAUAACAUGGGGCACACACCAUGUUCUCGAUCCAAUCCACGCACACGAGUUGCCUGAGUAGCGACAGGUAUACCGAUGUGCAAUACGUAUCCGGCCAUAGGCACGGAACGAACAGGAACUGUGGUGCAGACAUACAAGGGCCAUGGGGCGGUACGCAAAGGAUACGGAUGAGCGAGUAUGCAGGCCCAAUACUCAAUAGCUCGAUCCGAUCCAAGCACAUGAGUUGACUGCGGCGUCAGGUUAACCGAUGUGCUAAGAGAGUUGUUCCUGGGCCUUCAAAGUGACUUCAAAACUAUCUUAGCGAAUGGUGGCCAUGGGCGUAGACAUGAGCCACAAGUCACAAGGCCUGGGACUAUUGGGUAAUAAAGACAACUUAGUCAGAAAGUUAGUCUUUGGAC